AAUGACUUGGUGCGAUAAAGUCUGGGCGAAUCGUGAGGCGACCGCGAUGAUUCGAGAAGAGCUUGCAUUGCUGUCUCCGGACCACGACGAGAGGUUUGGCAUCGUCGCUCGACUGAUGCUGAGGGCGCUGC
rnacentral:sRNA from 1 species